rnacentral:rRNA from 1 species
GAUGAACGCUGGCGGCGUGCCUAAUACAUGCAAGUCGAGCGAACAGAUAAGGAGCUUGCUCCUUUGACGUUAGCGGCGGACGGGUGAGUAACACGUGGGUAACCUACCUAUAAGACUGGGAUAACUUCGGGAAACCGGAGCUAAUACCGGAUAAUAUUUCGAACCGCAUGGUUCGAUAGUGAAAGAUGGUUUUGCUAUCACUUAUAGAUGGACCCGCGCCGUAUUAGCUAGUUGGUAAGGUAACGGCUUACCAAGGCGACGAUACGUAGCCGACCUGAGAGGGUGAUCGGCCACACUGGAACUGAGACCCGGUCCAGACUCCUACGGGAGGCAGCAGUAGGGAAUCUUCCGCAAGGGGCGAAAGCCUGACGGAGCAACGCCGCGUGAGUGAUGAAGGUCUUCGGAUCGUAAAACUCUGUUAUUAGGGAAGAACAUACGUGUAAGUAACUGUGCACGUCUUGACGGUACCUAAUCAGAAAGCCACGGCUAACUACGUG